rnacentral:sRNA from 1 species
GUGAUUAUGUAGUUGAUAUACAAAGUAAUGACGGUGGGCCUUCAAGAAGAGGUUAAAAUACAUUCAUUAUAUUAACGAGUGCAUCUUAGAAAGAUUUCUUUCAAAAAGUAGUUGAAGUUUUUUUGCUUUAAGGAGUAAAUCUCAAUCAUCUGGAAAUUUAACUUCUGUGGAAUACCUCUUUACAUCUUAAAGGAAAUGUUAAUGCAUUAUAUUGAGGUUAUUAUUGCAAUGGAAUUUUCAAAAAUGUGAGUGUGCUUUUUUGUCUCUAGAAUCUAUAAGACACAUAUCUGUUCCAGGUAUAGUGUCUACUAAGACAAUUUCACAAUCCAAAAAAUAGUUGGUUAGCAAGGAUAUCAAGUACAACACAGAGACUAGCAAAGAGGGAAGGCUAUGAAAUAAAAUGCUUAUAGAUGGCUAGUCUCAUAUCUCUGCUUUAUUCCUAUAAAUGUAUCUCAUGAUAUAUGUAAUCAGAAUUAUAGUUAUUUAAUCUCCUCCUUUUUUGUCCAUUGCCUCUUUUAGGUCCAUGGUUUUUUGGUGAAAUCAUUGAUGGCAAAUUUGGUUGCUGCUUUUCCUUUGGGAUAUUUGUUAAUGGACAUUUCCUACAAGGCAGCAUAACAUUUAUAAUUGGAAUUCUCCAGCUGGCGUUUUUUAACAUCCCCUUGAUGGCUUACAUGUGUUGGAGCUUGCUGCAGCGGUGCUUUGGUCACAACUUCAGGUCUCAUCUCCAUCAAAGAAAAUACUUGAAAAUUAUGCCUGUUCACCUACUUAUGCUACUGCUGUACAUCUGGCAGGUUUAUUCCUGCUACUUUCUUUAUGCAACAUACGGCACCCUAGCUUUUUUAUUCUC